rnacentral:rRNA from 1 species
UACGGGGGGGGCAAGCGUUGUUCGGAAUCACUGGGCGUAAAGCGCACGUAGGCGGCUUUCUAAGUCAGGGGUGAAAUCCUGGAGCUCAACUCCAGAACUGCCUUUGAUACUGGAGAGCUUGAGUCCGGAAGAGGUGAGUGGAACUCCGAGUGUAGAGGUGAAAUUCGUAGAUAUUCGGAAGAACACCAGUGGCGAAGGCGGCUCACUGGUCCGGUACUGACGCUGAGGUGACGAAAGCGGUGGGGAGCAAACAGG